AUGUACUUUUGGUCACCCAAAUUCACUUUUUUUUUUUUUUUUUCUGAAUUUUUCAUCCUCAUAGCAUUUUUGGAUUUAGGUUUGUGGUCUAUCCAUUAAUGACGUGGUAGAGCUUAUAUGGCCCCAUUAAACAUCCAUACUGAUACCAUAAAAAAAGGACCUAAGCAAAAAUAACCUAAAGCAAUGUAUUGUGGCAAAAUUGGUUACUGUUGACGUAUGUUUUCGUAAGCAUAGCUUUCCCUUUCAAGCCAAAUGGAGCUUCUUCAUCAGCUCACAAUUAGGACUCUAAUCAGAUACAUUUCAUACUAAAUGGAAGUCCCUUUUGCAUUACAAUUGCAAUGAAGCAGGUACAUGGUAGAACAAACUUCUCACAUUAUCACAUAGCUAGCUGAAUAGAGAGAAGUGUAAGUAUUCGGUUGCCCUUAACAAUUAAUCACUCAUAUUUUACUUUGAUACCAUCAAUGACACGCCAUUUAUAUUAUGAUUUAAGUAACUAAUUAUCUAAAAGUAUAUUAUUUGUCCAUAAAAAAUGAAGAACGAGUAGAAUGUUCUGCCACCAAUAGGUAGAAAAAUCCCAUUACACCAGUGUGUUCUUGGCUAUUGUUUUAGACUCUAGGGUUAAAGUUUCACCAUCAAUAAUCUU
rnacentral:lncRNA from 1 species